GAUAAACGCUAGCGGCAGGCUUAACACAUGCAAGUCGAGGGGCAGCAUAGAUUGUAGCAAUACAAUUGGUGGCGACCGGCGCACGGGUGCGUAACGCGUAUGCAACCUACCCGUCACAGGGGGAUAAUCCGGAGAAAUCUGGUCUAAUACCCCAUAACAUAUGGAUCGGCAUCGGUUCAUGUUGAAAUUUUCGGAGGUGACGGAUGGGCAUGCGUAGCAUUAGCUUGUUGGUGAGGUAGCGGCUCACCAAGGCGACGAUGCUUAGGGGGACUGAGAGGUUUUCCCCCCACACUGGUACUGAGACACGGACCAGACUCCUACGGGAGGCAGCAGUGAGGAAUAUUGGUCAAUGGGGCAACCCUGAACCAGCCAUGCCGCGUGCAGGAAGACGGCUCUAUGAGUUGUAAACUGCUUUUGUACAGGGAUAAAUCGGGGAACGUGUUCCCCGUUGAAGGUACUGUACGAAUAAGGAUCGGCUAACUCCGUGCCAGCCGCCGCGGUAA
rnacentral:rRNA from 1 species